UACAGAGGCCUCAAGCGUUGUUCGGAUUCAUUGGGCGUAAAGGGUGUGUAGGUGGCGCCGUAAGUCGGGUGUGAAAUUUCGGAGCUUAACUCCGAAACUGCAUUCGAUACUGCGGUGCUUGAGGACUGGAGAGGAGACUGGAAUUCAUGGUGUAGCAGUGAAAUGCGUAGAGAUCAUGAGGAAGACCAGUGGCGAAGGCGGGUCUCUGGACAGUUCCCGACACUGAGACACGAAGGCCAGGGGAGCAAACGGG
rnacentral:rRNA from 1 species